UGCCAGCCGCCGCGGUAAUACGGAGGGUGCGAGCGUUAAUCGGAAUCACUGGGCGUAAAGCGUACGUAGGCGGCGUAUCAAGUCAGGCGUGAAAGCCCUCGGCUCAACCGAGGAAUUGCGUUUGAAACUGGUAUGCUAGAGUCUCGGAGAGGUUGGCGGAAUUCCAGGUGUAGGAGUGAAAUCCGUAGAGAUCAGAAGGAACACCGGUGGCGAAGGCGACUCCCUGGACUAUUACUGACGCUGAGGUACGAAAGCGUGGGGAGCAAACAGGAUUAGAUA
rnacentral:rRNA from 1 species